rnacentral:rRNA from 1 species
UCCCACCUGGGGAGUACGUUCGCAAGAAUGAAACUCAAAGGAAUUGACGGGGGCCCGCACAAGCGGUGGAGCAUGUGGUUUAAUUCGAUGAUACGCGAGGAACCUUACCAGGGCUUAAAUGUAGAUUGACAGAUUUGGAAACAGAUUUUUCUUCGGACAAUUUACAAGGUGCUGCAUGGUUGUCGUCAGCUCGUGCCGUGAGGUGUCAGGUUAAGUCCUAUAACGAGCGCAACCCCUAUUGUUAGUUACCAGCGCGUAGUGGCGGGGACUCUAGCAAGACUGCCGGUGCAAACCGUGAGGAAGGUGGGGAUGACGUCAAAUCAUCACGGCCCUUACGUCCUGGGCUACACACGUGCUACAAUGGCAAGUACAGAAAGCAGCUACCUGGCAACAGGAUGCGAAUCUCCAAAGCUUGUCUCAGUUCGGAUUGGAGUCUGCAACUCGACUCUAUGAAGCUGGAAUCGCUAGUAAUCGGAUAUCAGCCAUGAUCCGGUGAAUACGUUCCCGGGCCUUGUACACACCGCCCGUCAAGCCAUGGAAGCUGGGGGUACCUGAAGUCGGUGACCGCAAGGAGCUGCCUAGGGUAAAACUAGUAACUAGGGCUAAGUCG